GUUCACUGCGUCUUGGCUGAGACAUAUUAAAUCAGGACCUCUAUGGGAGAUAGCUAUUGGUGAUGAGAUAAGAGAUUGCCAGGAACGCGGUUGGUUGGGACUUCUAUACUUGAAUAAUUUCCUUUAUGAUGCUCAAUGCACACCACAUACAUGGCAUUUAUCAGCUGACACGCAACUUUUCUGCUUCGGAGUUGUUUUCUAUUUGAUGGCAAAAAAUAAAAACAGAAAUCUUAUGCUCGCAUUAACCUUUUUAGUGGGACUACUAAUUCCAGGAGUAAUAACGUACUUACGAAAUUUAAGUCCAUUGAUAAUACUCUCUCCUACGUAAGUAGCUUUUAUAAGUAUGCGGAAGGAUAAAGACUUUAUUUAUUUUAUUAAUGAGCGAU